rnacentral:lncRNA from 1 species
AAACUAUAAUAUUUUACACUUUUACCUCAAACUCCCAAACCUUUUUACUUUUCCCUAAAAACUUUUACUCCUUCCCGCUUUCCCCCCAAAACUUUUACUCCCCUCCCAUCCUAACCUUUCAAUCUACCCAAAAUCCAUUUCCCACCAAAAUUUUACUCCCCCUAUUUACUUUCCCUCAAACUUUUACUCCUCAAAACUUUUUAUUUUUCCCCUAAACUUUUAC